rnacentral:rRNA from 1 species
GGCCCAGAGUGUUUACCGUGAAAAAAUUAGAGUGUUCAAAGCGGGCAGAUAUUUUUCCUGCCACCGAAUACAUUAGCAUGGGAUAAUGGAAUAGGACCCUGACCUCCUAUUUUCAGUUGGUUUUGUUUACAGCGAGGUUAUAUCAGGGUAAUGAUUAAUAGGGAUAGUUGGGGGCAUUAAUAUUUAAUUGUCAGAGGUGAAAUUCUUGGAUUUAUGAAAGAUUAACUUCUGCGAAAGCGUUUGCCAAGGAUGUUUUCAUUAAUCAAGAACGAAAGUUAGGGGAUCGAAGACGAUCAGAUACCGUCGUAGUCUUAACCAUAAACGAUGCCGACCAGCGAUUAGGAGACGUUGAAUACAAAACACCGCCGUUAAUCCUUUCGGGGGUUAAUGGUUGGUGAAUGACUCCCCUA